rnacentral:lncRNA from 1 species
GGAGGAAAUAGUCCACUAGGCACCCCUACCCCCUUUUCCCAGGCCAGGCUACUGAAUGAAUCCUAAUUCUCUGCAGUUUGGGGGAAGACAUCCAUUCCUAAAUCUAAGAGCCAGGAAGCAAGGAAGAGUGACCUGGAACACAGCACACCCCUACUUCCCGCGGGAGUGCCCCAGAACCUACAGACACUUGGGUACCUUGCCCAGACUCUGGCUGGCUGUGUGACCUGGGCCAUUGACUCGACCCCUCUGAGCCUCAGUAUCCUCAUCUGUAAAGGCAGCCUAGAGCCCAGCCUGGCAGGUGGUACUGGAGGUCCUGGGUGCUACCCAAGGCUCAUUCUAGCUGGAAAGCAGGGGCUAGAACUGUAGAAGACCCGGGGCCGGUCUCCUGCUCCUCUAGCUCUUGCUGUGUGUGUUAUUUAAGGCCAUGAUGAAUUAAAUAACAGCCCCUAAAUGUUCUCGUCCACCCAGACCCUGUAAA